AAGAAAUUAGUUUAAAUUAUAAAACAUUAGCUUGUCAAGUUAAAAAUAUUAUUAAAUAUUUCUUG
rnacentral:tRNA from 1 species